GUCUCUGUAGAUUAGUCGGAAGAACACCUGACUAUGGUGCGGAAGAACACGGGUUCGAGUCCCGCUGAAGGCA